GACGAACGCUGGCGGCGUGCCUAAUACAUGCAAGUCGAGCGCGGAAGGGUCGUACGCGUACCAACUAGUUGAGCAGGGGACGGGUGAGUAACGCGUGGGUAAUCUUCCGUUUAGCGGGGGACAACGUUUGGUAACGAAUGCUAGUACAGCAUAAAAGUUUUAAACAGAAGUGUUAAGAAUGAAAGAUUCAAUUUCAUAGCUCACAGAUGAUCCUGCGUUGUAUUAGCUAGUUGGUGAGGUAAAGGUUUACCAAGGCGAUGAUACAUAGCCGACCUGAGAGGGUGAUCAGCCACAUUGGGACUGAGACACGGCCCAGACUCCUACGGGAGGCAGCAGUAGGGAAUAUUAGGCAAUAGACGAAAGUCUGACGGAGCAACGCCGCGUGAGUGAAGAAGGUUUUCGGAUCGUAAAACUCUGUUGGUAGAGACGAAUGCUGGUGAGAGUAGAAAGCUCAUCAAGUGACGGUACCUACACAGAAAGGAACGGCUAACUCCGUG
rnacentral:rRNA from 1 species